rnacentral:rRNA from 1 species
AACGAACGCUGGCGGCAUGCCUAACACAUGCAAGUCGAACGAGACCUUCGGGUCUAGUGGCGCACGGGUGCGUAACCCGUGGGAACCUGCCCUUAGGUUCGGAAUAACUCCCCGAAAGGGGUGCUAAUACCGGAUAAUGUCUUCGGACCAAAGAUUUAUCGCCUUUGGAUGGGCCCGCGUUGGAUUAGCUAGUUGGUAGGGUAAAAGCCUACCAAGGCGACGAUUCAUAGCUGGUCUGAGAGGAUGAUCAGACACACUGGGACUGAGACACGGCCCAGACUCCUACGGGAGGCAGCAGUGGGGAAUAUUGGACAAUGGGCGAAAGGCUGAUCCAGCAAGGCCGCGUGAGUGAUGAAGGCCUUAGGGUUGUAAAGCUCUUUUACCCGGGAUGAUAAUGACAGUACCGGGAGAAUAAGCUCCGGCUAACUCCGUG